CCUACGGGUGGCAGCAGUGAGGAAUAUUGGUCAAUGGGCGGGAGCCUGAACCAGCCAUGCCGCGUGAAGGCGAGUGCCCUACGGGCGUUAAACUUCUUUUGUGCGGGAGCAAUAAGGGCCACGCGUGGCCCGAUGAGAGUACCGCACGAAUAAGCAUCGGCUAACUCCGUGCCAGCAGCCGCGGUAAUACGGAGGAUGCGAGCGUUAUCCGGAUUUAUUGGGUUUAAAGGGUGCGCAGGCGGAGGUGCAAGUCAGCGGUCAAAUUGCGGGGCUCAACCCCGUACUGCCGUUGAAACUGCAUCCCUUGAGUGCGCGAGAAGUAUGCGGAAUGCGUGGUGUAGCGGUGAAAUGCAUAGAUAUCACGCAGAACUCCGAUUGCGAAGGCAGCAUACCGGCGCGCAACUGACGCUCAUGCACGAAAGCGUGGGUAUCGAACAGGAUUAGAUACCCGAGUAGUC
rnacentral:rRNA from 1 species